rnacentral:rRNA from 1 species
GACGAACGCUGGCGGCGUGCUUAACACAUGCAAGUCGAACGGAAAGGCCCUGCUUUUGUGGGGUGCUCGAGUGGCGAACGGGUGAGUAACACGGGAGUAACCUGCCCUUGACUUUGGGAUAACUUCAGGAAACUGGGGCUAAUACCUGAUAGGAGCGCCUGCUGCAGGGGGGGGGUUGGAAAGUUUAGGCUGUUGGGGAUGGACGCGCGGCUUAUCAGCUUGUUGGUUGGGUAGUUGCUUACCAAGGCUUUGACGGAUAGCCGGCCUGAGAGGGUGACCGGGCACCAUGGGACUGCGGUACGGACCAGAGUGCUACGGGAGGCAGUAGUGGGGAAUCUUGUCCAAUCGGCGGGAGCGUGAUGCAGAGGCGCUGCGUGUGGGAUGACGGCCUUUGGGUUGUGAAACGCUUUCGGCUGUGACGACGCGUUAGUGACGGUAAUGGAUAAAGAAGCACCGGCUAACUACGUG